rnacentral:rRNA from 1 species
GUGAACGCUGGCGGUAGGCCUAACACCUGCAAGUCGAACGGCAGCACAGUAAGAGCUUGCUCUUACGGGUGGCGAGUGGCGGACGGGUGAGGAAUACAUCGGAAUCUACUUUUUCGUGGGGGAUAACGUAGGGAAACUUACGCUAAUACCGCAUACGACCUACGGGUGAAAGCAGGGGAUCUUCGGACCUUGCGCGAUUGAAUGAGCCGAUGUCGGAUUAGCUAGUUGGCGGGGUAAAGGCCCACCAAGGCGACGAUCCGUAGCUGGUCUGGGAGGAUGAUCAGCCACACUGGAACUGAGACACGGUCCAGACUCCUACGGGAGGCAGCAGUGGGGAAUAUUGGACAAUGGGCGCAAGCCUGAUCCAGCCAUACCGCGUGGGUGAAGAAGGCCUUCGGGUUGUAAAGCCCUUUUGUUGGGAAAGAAAAGCAGCAGGUUAAUACCCCGCUGUUCUGACGGUACCCAAAGAAUAAGCACCGGCUAACUUCGUG